rnacentral:sRNA from 1 species
UCUCUAUGUUACAUUUCGGUGCAAGAGC